UCCAAAGUGGUGUAGUGGUAGCACGCCCUUUGACACACAGUUCUCUUUAGGGAGGGGAGCUGUGCUUUCGGGGGUGGGAAACCCAGGUUCAAGUCCUGGCUUUGGGA